rnacentral:rRNA from 1 species
AUUGAACGCUGGCGGCGUUCCUAAUACAUGCAAGUAGAACGCAGUUGCGAACGGGUGAGUAACGCGUAGGUAACUGCCUCAUAGCGGUGGAUAACUAUUGGACACGAUAGCUAAUACCGCAUACUGUGAGAUGGACCUGCGUUGUAUUAGCUAGUUGGUGAGGUAAAGGCUCACCAAGGCGACGAUACAUAGCCGACCUGAGAGGGUGAUGGGCCACACUGGAACUGAGAAACGGACCAGAAUCUUACGAGAGGCAGCAGAAGGGAAUCUUAGGGGAUGGAAGGAAGGCUGACCGAGAAACGCAGCGUUAGUGAGGAGGGUUUUCGGAUCGUAAAGCUCGGUUGUUAGAGAAGCAGUGACUAACCAGAAGGGGACGGCUAACUACGUGCCAGCGGCCGCGGUAAUUC